UACGAAGGGGGCUAGCGUUGUUCGGAUUUACUGGGCGUAAAGGGCGCGUAGGCGGGCGACUAAGUCAGGGGUGAAAUCCCAAGGCUCAACCUUGGAACUGCCUUUGAUACUGGUUGUCUUGAGUCCGGGAGAGGUGAGUGGAACUGCGAGUGUAGAGGUGAAAUUCGUAGAUAUUGGGAAGAACACCGGUGGCGAAGGCGGCGACCUGGUCCGACACUGACGCUGAGGCGCGAAAGCGUGGGGAGCAAACAGG
rnacentral:rRNA from 1 species